rnacentral:tRNA from 1 species
AGCUAGGUAGCACAGUGGAUAGAGCGCCAGAGUUCAAAUCUGGCCUCACACAUUUCCUAGCUG